CAAAAACAUCGCCUCUUGCAAAAUCAAUGAAUAAGAGGUCCCGCCUGCCCUGUGACUCUAAGUUUAACGGCCGCGGUAUUUUGACCGUGCGAAGGUAGCGCAAUCACUUGUCUUUUAAAUGGAGACCUGUAUGAAUGGCAUAACGAGGGCUUAGCUGUCUCCUCUUUCAAGUCAAUGAAAUUGAUCUCCCCGUGCAGAAGCGGGGAUACGUACAUAAGACGAGAAGACCCUAUGGAGCUUUAGACACCAAGGCAGCCCAUGUUAAAAACUCUUAAACAAAAGACCAAACCAAAUGAAACCUGCCCUAAUGUCUUUGGUUGGGGCGACCGCGGGGAAACACAAAACCCCCACGUGGAAUGAGAACACCUCCUCUCACAACUAAGAGCUCCCGCUCUAAUAAACAGAAAUUCUGACCAAUUAGAUCCGGCAUAAGCCGAUCAACGGACCGAGUUACCCUAGGGAUAACAGCGCAAUCCCCUUUUAGAGGCCAUAUCGACAAGGGGGUUUACGACCUCGAUGUUGGAUCAGGACAUCCUAAUGGUGCAGCCGCUAUUAAGGGUUCGUUUGUUCAACGAUUAAAGUCCUACGUGAUCUGA
rnacentral:rRNA from 1 species